UACAGAGGGGCAAGCGUUGCUCGGAAUCACUGGGCGUAAAGCGCACGUAGGCGGCUUUCUAAGUCAGGGGUGAAAUCCUGGAGCUCAACUCCAGAACUGCCUUUGAUACUGGAGAGCUUGAGUCCGGAAGAGGUGAGUGGAACUCCGAGUGUAGAGGUGAAAUUCGUAGAUAUUCGGAAGAACACCAGUGGCGAAGGCGGCUCACUGGUCCGGUACUGACGCUGAGGUGCGAAAGCGUGGGGAGCAAACAGGG
rnacentral:rRNA from 1 species